GCUUAAGCAGGCUUCCGGGAGAAAGAAACAUUAAACAUUUGAUUUCCCUUUCCAUUUCAUACCAGAGUGUGAGGGAGUCAGCAUUUCCAGUAUUUAUGGACGCGAUGGGGCCCCUAUUUGGUCUUCCUGGAAACCACCGCCACAGGGAGGGUGGGAAGUGGGAAACAGACCCCUAGGGACAGGGGCAGCCCUGACCUUUCCCUCCUGUCAGCACUCUGAAAACUUUUUGUAUUCACAUGAGACCAGUUAGAGAGAGCCCACCACACCCCAUCACACCCCAACCGCCAUUCGUCAGCAAGCCAACAAACACUUGGAGCAGAAAGCAGAAACAGGACCUGAACAGGAAAAGUCCAAGGAAGGACUUGGAUGCACAAGUCCCUCUGGUUGUGCCCUGCCGCACACGGAUGACCACACACAAGGUGCAGCUGACAUCGGCCACAGCCUGGGUGUGCCAGGUCCUGGGAACUGCCCUUAACACAUAAUCAGCUGCCACCUCCAUGUAGCCGGGCAUCAGCCUGCAGUCCGAGAUGAGGACUCCCCAUCACUUUGGGCUGUUGAGGUGCAGCUCUGUCCCUCACCACAUGCCCAGGGUUCAGCAGCCCCUGAGAGCGACAUGCAUCCAGCUGCCUGUGGUUAGGGCCCCAGCCUCCUUCCCAUCCAGUUCCACCCAACGCUCCUCAUCACAAACUCCAGAAGUCCCCAGAUUCCCC
rnacentral:lncRNA from 1 species